UCCGCUCCGCUGCCGGGCCUCCAGCGAGCUCCGCGCGUCCGGGUCCGGGAGGGAGCCAAGGGCUCCCUGGUUCAAAGGGCCGCAGCCCAAGGGGAUGCCCUCCUCGUGUGCCCUGGGGUGGAGAAGCAGACUGCAGGGCGGUGGGACCAGCCUGGGCCACGGAGUUCUAGAACUGGAGUGAGAACCUAGAAGUGGGAAAGAACACCUGUGACAUGGCCAGCACAUCCUUUGCACAUCCCAAAGGUGGUAUCACACCCAUCGACUUCCUAAACUCUUCAGGUGUUGAAGACACACGCACAAUGUCUGGGGGACUCUGGCACCCACCAACACCCUCCCUUAGAGUACUCUACAGUGACUUCUGAGGGGGUUGGCCAGGGAUAUGGAAAUAAUUUUUGGACAGUUUGACUCACUGAAGAAAUAGAUGAAGCAGUUUGAUAACUAAGCCAGGUGAAAGUUCCCUGGAUCCUGACCUAAGAUUCACUUAACAUUUUUCUUUCCUUGCUUCCUUGUCCCCGCACUAUUUUUCUUUCUCAAGUCCACUCCGCCCAAAGAGUAAAAUAGGGGUCCUUUAUUUGAGGACUGCUUCUCAACAGAGUGUAGUAUGCAGCUUUGUAGGUCCAGAACUUUCCCACAACCGAGCUCCUUAUUCAGGGUGGGGCAUAGGCCAGGCACGACCUCUGCUCCGGGCUCUCUAGGGAGGCUAGUCCCCUACCUGAGGCCCUCUCAAGGGCUCGGGGCUGCCUGUGGAGCCGCUAGUUCUCUGUAGCCGGCCCUGCAGGAGUUAAAGCCCCAGACAGACAAAAGCGAGGCUGCCGCAGCUCCUUUUCUUGGCUGUCAGUUGCAAAUAGAACCGCUGCCCUCUGUACUUUAACUCCCGACAGAAAGGGCAUUUUAUUACAGGCUAUGACAAGUUGCAGGGAGACCGCGGAGAACUCAAUAAGAAGGAGCGGCGAGUGGAAUCAAAAACCCUCGGAAUGUUUGGAAGACUGACCGAAGAUGGCUCCAAAUGAUAGGCGGGAAACGGACGCUUCCCUCUCCCGAGUUGGUUUCUUCCCGGUCCUCUGCGAGAAGCUGUCUUCCUACGAAGAGCCUUUUGCAAACUUCUACUAGACUUUAUUCGAGUUUUCCCCGACCCUCUCUUCCUCUGAGUUCCCCUCUUCUCACGAAGUUAGCAUGGGAGGAGAGAAGUGAUACCAGGGAAAGGAAGAGACAUAUUUUCUGCCCCCACCCCGCUUGUUGCUUAGUAAAGGGGCCUCAGUCUGAGCUACCCAGGGUCUUUCUAGGAACUGCUGUCUGAGAGCCGAGAGCGUGUCCUCCUCCCUACCCGCCCCCAGCAGUUCUGUACGCGCUUUUAAUAACCUAUCUCCCAGUGAAAAACAGUGCUGCGUGGAAACUGUGCAAACCGGUAGAACUGCUCUUCCCUAAAGUGCGAUAGUGGGGACCCCCACUACAAAAUAAGCACGCUAGCUAGAGGCGGACCUUGUAGGAUUCAGGUUAACUUGAGGAUGCCAGCUCAGUUGGAGAGUGCUGAAGAAGGGACUUCCGAGGAAACUUGUAAUACAAAAGGUGAAAUAUGUUUAUCCCAACUCCACGCACAGACUCCUUGCCAAGAAAGGCAGAGUUGGUAGUUGUCAAAGCUAGCAGUGCCUGCUGCCCCUCUCCCCCAAGCUCAUUUGCUUGCUGGGUCCAGCUCAGCCGAAGCCCCAAAUAAGAAAGAUUACAAACAGUAAUACUCAGGGCACUGUGCAAAUGGUUAUAAAAAACUGCACUCCCUUUCCCUUUUUUUUAAAAAACCUAUAGAAGUAAAAGCAUGAACAAUCUUACAUAAUUCCAUAAUCGAGACAGAAAAAGCAGAUACACUGUAAAUUCAUAGCUUAUGGCCAAUUGUUUUCUCGCUUCCUGUGUCCUGCUCGGUAAAAAACAAGCAAAACUAAAGUUAGCUGAAGCUUUUGGGUUCUUCUUUAACUGGAGAAAUUGUAAGAAUCUAAGGUUUUAAAAGUUUGGGGUUUCAACAAGACCAUUUCUUGGAUACAUUUUGCCAGGUCCCCUGCCCAUGCAAACAAAACAGUGCCUUCUAACUUUGUUUUCUCAACUUUCUCAACCUCACCCCAAGUUUUUUGUUUUUUGUUUUUCUUCUUCACAGAACUUGAUGCGUUUUCCUCCGUUUCUGCCAAAGUGUUUCUGACUUUGAUAAAUAUUAAUUAUCCUUCCUCUCUCUGGAGUUUUGCUACACUCUCCACUCACUUGCAUCAGCAUAGAACAGAUCCUCACCUCUCAGAUCUGACUAAGAAGGUUCACGUGGUUAGGAGUGAGUCUGAAACAAUGCCCUGGGUACCCAUUGUGUGCUGAAUAACCACCACAGAAAUGGAUAUUAAAAUUAAAUAGCCACAAAACUAAGAGGGUGGGGUAAACAUACCACAAAACAUGAUUUUUUACUAACAAGGAAGUUAUAAGGUGAACGAAUGUAAUGGGUUCUGCUUCUUCCUCUGUCAUGAUAUACGACUAGCAAUAACUGGACAACGAAGAGAAAACUCUGCUUCUCUAUUAUUUUGUUAGAAAUCUUUCAGAACUGAACAAAUGCAGAAUGUUUGUUCCUCGAAAAACCAUGUGCUUACUACUGCCGAAUAAAUCUUUAAAAGGCUGUAGUCCUCAUUAAAUAAGUAGCAUAUGAAAUAAUUUAAUAAACUCUGUCAAAAGAGUUCCUUCAAUAUUUUGGUUUUGAAAUGGUUGUGAGGGGGACACUGGAAACGAAAUUACUUCCUCGGCAUGGUCCGUGUGAAUGUGAAUCCUGAAAUAGCAGAGAGGGCAACAGUGGCCAUAGAGCAAUGUGAGCCAGGCUGGGGUGGCACUCCCUGACCCUGUGUGCAUCUGGGAAAGGCAAAGGUGCACCUCAGUCUUCAUAUUUUUCCUUCCCUCUUUCAAUAUGGAAUCUUGUUUCAAUUUAUGCUCCAGAAUAAAACUCCAGUGCACUUUAAA